UCGGGGUCAGGUGAAUCCUGUCUGACGGACAUGUAGUUUAUAGGAUCCAAUAUACAAAAUGUGGGUAUCCUAUAACUCGUGAUAAGUGAGUAUUUCACAUGACAAUAAAAAGCUUCAUCCUACAAUCAUCCAACUAUUUUACAUUUCAUUUUCUGAAAAUAUUAAUACUUUGAAAAGCUUAAACCUAUUGAGGAUGUUGACCUAUAUAGCUUUUCUC
rnacentral:lncRNA from 1 species